rnacentral:rRNA from 1 species
CCAAUAGCGUAUAUUAAAGUUGUUGCAGUUAAAAAGCUCGUAGUUGAAUUUCGGGAUUGACACAUCGGUCGUGCCUUAAGGGGUGUGAACUGGUGUAGUCAAUUUCUCACCUUCUGGAGAACCGCGAUGUCCUUAAUUGGGUGCCGCGAGGAACCAGGACCUUUACUUUGAAAAAAUUAGAGUGUUUAAAGCAGGCAUUUUUGCUUGAAUACAUUAGCAUGGAAUAAUAAAAUAGGACGGUAUGAUUCUAUUUUGUUGGUUUCUAGGAUCACCGUAAUGAUUAAUAGGGAUAGUUGGGGGCAUUAGUAUUCAAUUGUCAGAGGUGAAAUUCUUGGAUUUAUUGAAGACUAACUACUGCGAAAGCAUUUGCCAAGGAUGUUUUCAUUAAUCAAGAACGAAAGUUAGGGGAUCGAAGACGAUCAGAUACCGUCGUAGUCUUAACCAUAAACUAUGCCGACUAGGAAUCAGACGAUGUUAAUUUUUUAAUGACUCGUUUGGCACCUUACG